rnacentral:rRNA from 1 species
UACGUAGGUGGCGAGCGUUGUCCGGAUUUACUGGGCGUAAAGCGUGCGUAGGUGGUUUGUUAAGUCUGUUGUGAAAGCCCCGGGCUCAACCUGGGAAUGGCAAUGGAUACUGGCAAGCUAGAGUGCGGUAGAGGGUAGUGGAAUUCCCGGUGUAGCGGUGAAAUGCGUAGAGAUCGGGAGGAACACCAGUGGCGAAGGCGGCUACCUGGACCAGCACUGACACUGAGGCACGAAAGCGUGGGGAGCAAACAGG